CUUGCAAUAAAUUCAUGAGUAUAUAAAUUUAUAAUAGUUGAAACAACUAAUAUUUUAUUUUAUCAAGUAAAUGAAAAGUAUGAAAAGUAGCUUCUUAAUUCCAACGUUGUCGUCGUUGUCACAAAUGUUGCUCACCACGCUCUUGCAGUUCUCGAAGACAGAUCGUUCUUGCAACUAACAGUAAGUCUGUAUGACCCUCACUAAUUGUUACUUUAUUAUUACUUUAUACAAGUGAAAUGACAUAUGCACGCUCGUCUCUUCCCGACAAUGUUACGUCAUAAGUUCGUUAAUUCUCUUACAGAGUUAAGCCUUCCGCUUAUCUUGCGACAGCACGUGGAAUUUCUAUCGGUUUGACAUAUAACAAUUUACACAUUAUUUACAUAAGGAGAUAUCCACGUUAAGGCUAAGCGCUAGUUAUAGAAGAGACAACGAGUUUAAUGAAACAUAUAGAUUUGUCGCACGAAUUCCUGAUAGCGGUCAAAAAUACAGGUAGAUCGACAUUUUGCUUGGCAGCCUUCUUGGCUGUAUUGGCGGUCGUUAUCACGGAGAAAUUGUAUUCAGAUGCGUUUGAUCAUAUCGAUAUCGAUCAUGUCUUGAUCAACGACGAGUUUCGGAAUUAAUAUUACCUUUGUUUCAUCGAGUCUCUUACGUAACUAACUGAAGAUCUAAAAUACUUCAAACGUAUAUGACAUUUUCACUUUGUAUGAGUUUCGAUUGUGUAGACGAUUUUGCUUCCAAAUAAAAUCUGUUAAUUGUGUGAGCAAUAUACAUAGUUCACGUGUUUGAAUUUUGUUUCACAGUUUUCAACAAUGACGGACCAAGCAGAAAGGAUUUGUAUUAUAUAAAAUCAUAUGUUCUUUUAUAGAUAAAUUAAAUAUAAUCAUAUAAAAUCAUUAAUUUAUUUUGACGAUAGGAGCUCAUGAAAAAUAAGACAGAUAAAGUUAUGCCUGACACUAUGGAGUUAUCGGGUUCAAGUUUCUCGUAAAAAUUCUUAUGAACUUAUUGAAGAACUCAAUAAUUGUACAACAGCAUUUUCUUUCAUGUGAGGUCCUGGGAAGGCAUGUAAUAGACUGUCCCAAAUGCAUAAAUGGAAACGAAGGAAGAAAGAAAUUCAAGAGUUGGUAAUGAGAGAUUAUGAGAAACUACAGCAUCUGUUCGAAGCCAGGGAGGAGGAAAAAGAAAAAUGAUUUCGGAGAAACGAUAAGAUCAAGACUAUAGAAUGCAGCACUAAACAGACGCGUUACUGGAAACCUGACAAAUAGCGGCAGGAACAUCCGGAAAGAGAGAGAAACAAAGAUUAAAAUCGGAGAGGAGAAGAGCCUCCGCGCCUUUUGCCGAAUUAAGCGUCGUAGAGUCGAAAUAUUUGAUUCUCGCUAAGUUUUCAUGUAGCCGUCCGUUCUGGUAACUGCGCCGAUAGAUGGUCGAGCAAUCAAUUAUUCUUUGUUAAGAUAGUCGAGCGAAGAUUUAUAUUAGUUUAUUGUUAUUUAUAUUGGUUUACAGGUUAUUGGUUUAUAUUGGUUUUUUAUAUUGAUAUAAGGAUUAAUAUAUUGU